AUUGAACGCUGGCGGCAUGCCUUACACAUGCAAGUCGAACGGUAACAGGUUAAGCUGACGAGUGGCGAACGGGUGAGUAAUGUAUCGGAACGUGCCCAGUCGUGGGGGAUAACUACUCGAAAGAGUGGCUAAUACCGCAUACGACCUGAGGGUGAAAGCGGGGGACCGUAAGGCCUCGCGCGAUUGGAGCGGCCGAUAUCAGAUUAGCUAGUUGGUGGGGUAAAAGCCCACCAAGGCGACGAUCUGUAGCUGGUCUGAGAGGACGACCAGCCACACAGGGACUGAGACACGGCCCAGACUCCUACGGGAGGCAGCAGUGGGGAAUUUUGGACAAUGGGCGAAAGCCUGAUCCAGCCAUGCCGCGUGCAGGAUGAAGGCCUUCGGGUUGUAAACUGCUUUUGUACGGAACGAAAAGACUCUUUCUAAUAAAGAGGGUCCAUGACGGUACCGUAAGAAUAAGCACCGGCUAACUACGUGCCAGCAGCCGCCGUAAAAC
rnacentral:rRNA from 1 species